GACGAACGCUGGCGGCGUGCUUAACACAUGCAAGUCGAACGGAAAGGCCCUGCUUUUGUGGGGUGCUCGAGUGGCGAACGGGUGAGUAACACGUGAGUAACCUGCCCUUGACUUUGGGAUAACUUCAGGAAACUGGGGCUAAUACCGGGUAGGAGCUCCUGCUGCAUGGUGGGGGUUGGAAAGUUUCGGCGGUUGGGGAUGGACUCGCGGCUUAUCAGCUUGUUGGUGGGGUAGUGGCUUACCAAGGCUUUGACGGGUAGCCGGCCUGAGAGGGUGACCGGCCACAUUGGGACUGAGAUACGGCCCAGACUCCUACGGGAGGCAGCAGUGGGGAAUAUUGCACAAUGGGCGGAAGCCUGAUGCAGCAACGCCGCGUGCGGGAUGAAGGCCUUCGGGUUGUAAACCGCUUUCGCCUGUGACGAAGCGUGAGUGACGGUAAUGGGUAAAGAAGCACCGGCUAACUACGUG
rnacentral:rRNA from 1 species